GACGAACGCUGGCGGCGUGCCUAAUACAUGCAAGUCGAACGCAGUGGGGACGGGUGCGUAACACGUGGGUAACCUCCCAUCAAAGGAGAUAACACUUGGAAACAGGUGCUAAACCGAUAUUGGUGGAUGGACCCGCGGUGCAUUCGCUCGGUGGUGAGGUAAAGGCGCACCAAGGCCACGAUGCAUAGCCGACCUGAGAGGGUGACCGGCCACACUGGGACUGAGACACGGCCCAGACUCCUACGGGAGGCAGCAGUAGGGAAUCUUCGGCAAUGGGCGAAAGCCUGAUCGAGCAACGCCGCGUGAGUGAAGAAGGUUUUCGGAUCGUAAAACACUGUUGGUAGAGAAGCGGUAUCUAAACAGAAAGCAACGGCUAACUACGUGCCAGCAGCCGCGGUAAUUC
rnacentral:rRNA from 1 species